GCAGGUGUAGUUCAAUGGCAGAACUCCAGCUUCCCAAGCUGGUAGCGUGGGUUCGAUUCCCAUCACCUGCUCCA
rnacentral:tRNA from 1 species